UUGCUCGCUUCAGUAGCACAUAUACUAAAAUUGUAAUGAUACAGAGAAGAUUAGUAUGGACCCU
ensembl:snRNA U6 U6 spliceosomal RNA